AACGAACGCUGGCGGUAUGCCUAACACAUGCAAGUCGAACGACACCUCCGGGUCUAGUUGCGCUUGGGUGCGUAACGUGUGGGAACCUUCCCUUAGGCUUGGAAUAACUCCCUGUAAGGGGUGCUAACACCGGAAAACGUCCUCUGACAAAAGAUUCGUCGUCCUAGGAAGAGCCGGCGUUGGAUUAGCCUGUUGGGAGGGUAAAAGCCUACCACGGCGUCGAUCGUUAGCGGGUCAGAGAGGAUGGUCAGCGACACUGGGACUAUGACGCGGCCCAGAAUCCUACGGGAAGGAGCAGUGGGGGAUAUAGGACUAUGGGGGGAGUCAUGAUGCAGCUAUGCCGCGUAAGUGAUGAUGGUCGGAGAGAUAUAAAGCUCUUUUACCCGGGGUGAUAAUGACGGUACCGGAAGAAUAAGCUCCGGCUAACUCCGUG
rnacentral:rRNA from 1 species